rnacentral:misc_RNA from 1 species
AUUAAAUCUAAGGUUAUCAUUUGAUGAAAGAGUAUGGUCCAUCGCUACAGUAACUGCUCCUGGCAUCUUCUCACUAUGCUUGCUUUUCAAAUCAGGUGCGGGCAUCUUUGUUAAAGCCUCAUCAUUUUGACAUGGUGAAUUACUUUUGCUUCUUUUAAUAAAGCGUUCCAUGAUUGAAGCUUGCUUCUUUCUGUAUAGCAAUUCGCUUUUUCAGUUCAGCUUCUUCCUUCUCUCUACGCCGUUGUUCUUUUUCAGCUUCCUCUUGCUGCUUUCUUAGAUGCCUCCUCAUUUCGGACUCUUCUUUUUCACGACGUUUUUCAUCCUUGUCUGCCUCCUCCUGCAAUCGCUUUUGCUCCUUUUCAGUUUGCCUCUUUUCCUUUUGAAGUUCAAGGUCCAUCCUCUUUUUCUCCUUUUCAGCUUCUUUUUUAUUUUUCUCCAGUUGUUUGAUGAGCAAUUUCUGCUCUCGUCUUGCUUCCUUGCCAGCCAUCUCUGCACCAUUCUUCUGCAACAUACUAUCCACUAACAAACGGAUAUCUGCCUCUUGUAACACUUUACCAAGCUUUUCUGAUGCUCUCAUCAAAUCAGUUGUGCAAGUCUGAUCACUCUCUAACUUUUGUAAAGCAGAUAUCAUUGCAGAAACAGCACUAAUUCUCUCUUGGAUCUUUUUCCUACACAUUCGCCGAAUUGUCAAUGCACCACGCACAUUUUUUGGCAUCAGCUUUAGAUCUCUUGUCUCCCAACACCAGAGACAAGCCUGAGUCUCAUCCUCCAAAACAUCAGCAUCCACAUUAGGCACUCCAUACAUCACUCUCUGCCCUACAAACAACACCGCACUCUUGACCACCGCCACCGUAACACUCACAUUGUCCUUCAGUCUCUCCCCCACCAACUUUCUAUAAAUCACAUCCACCAAUUUCGACAGAGGCAAGUCGCUUUCCUCCAUCAACAAGCCCACCAUCCCAUUCAGCGUAUUACCAUCAUUUGCACCCGAAUCUAAAGAAAAACCACACCCCACUUUCUGAUUCACCACUUGUUUGUAAUAUCCAAAAAGCCCUUCGAGUUCUUUGUUAAGGGCUUCGAUUUGGGCUGCCUUCUGGUCAAUCGUUAAGUUGAAGGCCAGCGCCGUUGAGGUUGAAGAUGGUCGCUUUCGCUUGAGGGUUUUCCUGGGCUGAACUAGGGCAUUGGCAUCUGGCUCAGCGUCGACGUCGACGACCAUGUUCGAGGGGUCCGCCAUUUGCUUUG